GACGAACGCUGGCGGCGUGCCUAAUACAUGCAAGUCGAGCGGACAGAAGGGAGCUUGCUCCCGGAAGUUAGCGGCGGACGGGUGAGUAACACGUGGGCAACCUACCCUGUAGAUCGGGAUAACAUCGAGAAAUCGGUGCUAAUACCGGAUAAUCAUUUGAAGUGCAUGCUUCGAAUGUAAAAGAUGGCUCCGGCUAUCACUACGGGAUGGGCCCGCGGCGCAUUAGCUGGUUGGUAAGGUAAUGGCUUACCAAGGCAACGAUGCGUAGCCGACCUGGGCGGGUGAUCGGCCACACUGGGACUGAGACACGGCCCAGACUCCUACGGGAGGCAGCAGUAGGGAAUCUUCCGCAAUGGACGAAAGUCUGACGGAGCAACGCCGCGUGAGUGAUGAAGGUUUUCGGAUCGUAAAGCUCUGUUGUUAGGGAAGAACAAGUGCCGUUUGAAUAAGGCGGCACCUUGACGGUACCUAACCAGAAAGCCACGGCUAACUACGUGCCAGCCGCCGCGGUAAGAC
rnacentral:rRNA from 1 species